AUUGAACGCUGGCGGCAUGCUUUACACAUGCAAGUCGAACGGCAGCGCGGGGGGCAACCCUGGCGGCGAGUGGCGAACGGGUGAGUAAUACAUCGGAACGUACCCAGAAGUGGGGGAUAACGUAGCGAAAGUUACGCUAAUACCGCAUACGUUCUACGGAAGAAAGUGGGGGGACCUUCGGGCCUCAUGCUUUUGGAGCGGCCGAUGUCUGAUUAGCUAGUUGGUGAGGUAAAGGCUCACCAAGGCGACGAUCAGUAGCUGGUCUGAGAGGACGACCAGCCACACUGGAACUGAGACACGGUCCAGACUCCUACGGGAGGCAGCAGUGGGGAAUUUUGGACAAUGGGGGCAACCCUGAUCCAGCAAUGCCGCGUGAGUG
rnacentral:rRNA from 1 species